rnacentral:rRNA from 1 species
AAAGGAAUAGACGGGGACCCGCACAAGCGGUGGAUUAUGUGGUUUAAUUCGAAGCAACGCGAAGAACCUUACCAAGUAUUGACAUGGAGCUUAAGGGUCGGGAGACCGACAGAUGGGAAAGCUCACACAGGUGGUGCAUGGUUGUCGUCAGCUCGUGUCGUGAGAUGUUGGGUUAAGUCCCGCAACGAGCGCAACCCCUGUCUUUAGUUACCAACAGUGAGAUGGGAACUCUAGAGAGACUGCCGGUGACAAACCGGAGGAAGGUGGGGAUGAGGUCAAAUCAGCAUGCCCCUAAUGACUUGGGCUACACACGUAAUACAAUGGCGUAUACAGAGGGAAGCGAAGUAGUGAUACGGAGCGAAUCUCAGAAAGUACGUCUCAGUUCGGAUUGAAGUCUGCAACUCGACUUCAUGAAGUGGGAAUCGCUAGUAAUCGCGAAUCAGCAUGUCGCGGUGAAUACGUUCUCGGGUCUUGUACACACCGCCCGU